CCCAAAUGCACACAAACGUCACACACACACACACACACACACACACACACACACACACACACACACACACACACACACACACACACACACACACACACACACACACACACACACACACACACACACACACACAAAUUCUGACACAUACUGUAUAUGCAGACACAUAUGCCAGGGUACAAACACACACGGCUCUGCACAUUAAGGCAUAUAUAAGGAGAAGCAGAGGUAGAGAGAGGAGGAAGCAUGAGUGUGUCCAAGACAAACAGGGAAUGAGGCUUCAGCUUGCCAAAGAGCUUCUGAUCCACCCACCCCUACUCUCCACACUGUUUAGUCCAUGUCAGAGUCACUCCCCUCUCUCUCGCACUGAGCCCACAGCACAGGGAUCGGCUGCUAUGGCUGAUAUACAUCUGAAGGAGAGAGAAAGGUCAGGUGGACUUCCUUGUUGUUUGGUACACUGCUAGUACACUGUUCUGAACUGCUUUUACCCUAAAGCUUCUGAUGCUGAACUGAGAUUGGCUCUUCUAGCCUCUGUUUCAACCCUGGUUCAGUGUAUCGUUGUCAUGUUAUCUGUACCUGAUGACGCUAACUGAUCUAGUCAGGCUAUUCAAUCCCACAUGGUUGCACUGUGACCUUAUAUAACUGGUCAGAUCACUCCGGACCAUACUGUACCUACUGUAUGAGGCGCUGUUUAUGUAAACUGUCUCCCUGUGCCAAGUUGUUCCUAAAACCAUUUCUCUCAAACCGUUCUUCCUCCUUUACAGAUUAAUUCAAGGGAAAACAUAAGGGGCAAGUGAUCAUUACCAGUGGAUCAUUACCAGUGUAUCAAUACCAGUGUAUCAAUACCAGGGAUCAAUACCAGUGUAUCAAUACCAGGGAUCAUUACCAGUGUAUCAAUACCAGGGAUCAUUACCAGUGUAUCAUUACCAGUGUAUCAAUACCAGGGAUCAUUACCAGUGUAUCAAUACCAGGGAUCAUUACCAGUGUAUCAAUACCAGGGAUCAUUACCAGUGUAUCAAUACCAGGGAUCAUUACCAGUGUAUCAAUACCAGGGAUCAUUACCAGUGGAUCAUUACCAGUGUAUCAUUACCAGUGUAUCAAUACCAGGGAUCAUUACCAGUGUAUCAUUACCAGUGAUCAUUACCAGUGUAUCAUUACCAGUGAUCAUUACCAGUGUAUCAAUACCAGGGAUCAUUACCAGUGUAUCAUUACCAGUGAUCAUUACCAGUGUAUCAAUACCAGGGAUCAUUACCAGUGUAUCAUUACCAGUGUAUCAAUACCAGGGAUCAUUACCAGUGUAAAUCAAAUGAUGAAGCAUCUGAUUUAGUUCUGCAGUCAACAGUGACAUGGUAAGUCUACAGGAGACAGCAUCUCCGCGCACACACACACACACACACACACACACACACACACACACACACACACACACACACACACACACACACACACACACACACACACACACACACACACACACACACACACAGAGAGAGAGCGAGAGGAAUACCUUACUCAUCAGGAGUGAGUAUCAUAUCAAAUGCCUGUACUGUUACAUUUAUUCAACUGGAUUGAAAAUAAAAAUAUAUCUGCUAAAAUGUUGAUGAUGACAGCAUUUAGCUUUUUAUGUGAAUAAGAGAACAACUUGUCUCCUCUUUAGACCCUCCAGCAGCAGCAUCCAUUAAAUAUUUCAAACAAAGAAAACUGCCAUUGCUACUGUAUAUCUGUCUUCCUCUCUGUCUGUUUUUCAUUCUCUCUUUUUCUCCCUCUUCCUCUCUCUCUAUUUUUCUCCCGCUUCCUCUCUCUAUAUUUCUCCCUCACCCUCUAUUUUUCUCCCUCUUCCCUUCCUCCCUCCCUCCCUCCCUCC
rnacentral:lncRNA from 1 species